rnacentral:rRNA from 1 species
AUUGACCGCUGGCGGCAGGCCUAACACAUGCAAGUCGAACGAGUGGCGGACGGGUGAGUAAUGUCUGGGAAACUGCCUGAUGGAGGGGGAUAACUACUGGAAACGGUAGCUAAUACCGCAUACCAUCAGAUGUGCCCAGCUGGGCUUAGCUUGUUGGUGGGGUAACGGCUCACCAAGGCGACGAUCCCUAGCUGGUCUGAGAGGAGGACGAGCCACACUGGAACUGAGACACGGUCCAGACGCCUACGGGAGGAAGCAGUGGGGAAUAUGGCACAAUGGGCGCAAGCCUGAUGCAGCCAUGCCGAGUGUAUGAAGAAGGCCUUCGGGUUGUAAAGUACUUUCAGCGGGGAGGCGUUACGCGCAGAAGAAGAACCGGCUAAGUCCGUGCGAGCCGGCGCGGUAAUUC